AUACCAUCAAGUAUAUUUCUCCGAACAAACAUUGUAAUAUUUAAAAAAGGCUGCUUACGUUGAUUCCAUCUUGGUAACCAUUUUGAUUUCAAAAUGGGUUGUUUCGGCAGCAAAGACAAGCUGAGCAAAGAGGAUAUGGAUUUUCUCAAGUCGCACACGAGAUACGACGAGGCAACUAUAAAAGAAUGGUACAAAGGAUUCAAA